rnacentral:misc_RNA from 1 species
GGAUCCUUCCAUUGCCUGGCAAAACCGGCACCAAGGGGCAUAAAGAACAACAAUCCAAGGCUCUCUACGAUUUUCCAACUUCAAUAGGUUCUCGAUUCCAGGCCUGCUCAAGCUUACAAUGUCGUUGGUGUCAAAAAUAUCAGCAUGAGCAGCACUACCAUUUGCAUGGACAGUGGCAUUUCCAUUACCGUUCAUGCUUUCGUCCUUGAUGUUGCCCUUAUGUAAGCCACACUCCUUGGCCUUGGAAUCCUCCCACCACCACCUUCCUUC